rnacentral:lncRNA from 1 species
GGUGUCGAAAGUCUUUUUAGCAGCCGGAGGUGUUCGGUAGGAACUCUCCAUUUCAGUUGGGACGAAGUCCUUUAGGUCUUUUGGUGUGGUUCAUCCCUCAUCCAUUUCCGCCGUAGUUCGUCAUCCUUCCUUUUUGAUUUUCCUCCUCUUCUCGGAGUGAAGGCCUUCCCCCGCUUUUCGUGGGGUUGCAUAGGAGCGAGGAGGUGCCAAUGAGGGGCUUUUUCUUUUCACCCGAUCUUGUUGGGCGGUCGGGCUUCGCCACCACCAGCUCUUGCUGCAGAUGUCGUGGGUGGAACCCGGUUCCCAUAGGAGUCUGAGUGGAAUCUUCCUUGGCGUCGUGGAUGGAGCCCGGCUCCCGUAGGAGCCCGGGCGGAGUCUUCCUUGGCGU